rnacentral:rRNA from 1 species
ACGGGGGGAGCAAGCGUUGUUCGGAUUUACUGGGCGUAAAGGGCGCGUAGGCGGCCACCGCAAGUCGACUGUGAAAUCUCCGGGCUUAACCCGGAAAGGUCAGCCGAUACUGCGGGGCUAGAGUGCAGAAGGGGCAACUGGAAUUCUCGGUGUAGCGGUGAAAUGCGUAGAUAUCGAGAGGAACACCAGUGGCGAAGGCGAGUCUCUGGGAUGAUGCUGACGCUGAGGCGCGAAAGCCAGGGGAGCAAACGGGA